rnacentral:rRNA from 1 species
UACGAAGGGGCUAGCGUUGCUCGGAAUCACUGGGCGUAAAGGGUGCGUAGGCGGGUCUUUAAGUCAGGGGUGAAAUCCUGGAGCUCAACUCCAGAACUGCCUUUGAUACUGAAGAUCUUGAGUUCGGGAGAGGUGAGUGGAACUGCGAGUGUAGAGGUGAAAUUCGUAGAUAUUCGCAAGAACACCAGUGGCGAAGGCGGCUCACUGGCCCGAUACUGACGCUGAGGCACGAAAGCGUGGGAGCAACAGGG